rnacentral:rRNA from 1 species
UACGUAGGCAGCGAGCGUUGUUCGGAAUUACUGGGCGUAAAGAGUGUGUAGGCGGUGUUCCAAGUUCGGUAUGAAAUCUCCCGGCUUAACUGGGAGGGUGCGCCGAAAACUGGAAUGCUCGAGCGUGGGAGAGGAAAGCGGAAUUCCUGGUGUAGCGGUGAAAUGCGUAGAUAUCAGGAGGAACACCAGCGGUGUAGACGGCUUUCUGGACCAUUGCUGACACUGAGACACGAAAGCGUGGGGAG